UGAUCAUGGCUCAGGAUGARCGCUGGCGGCGUGCUUAACACAUGCAAGUCGAACGAAGCACGUGGAUUUGAUUCUUCGGAUGAAGAUCCUUGUGACUGAGUGGCGGACGGGUGAGUAACGCGUGGGUAACCUGCCUCAUACAGGGGGAUAACAGUUAGAAAUGACUGCUAAUACCGCAUAAGACCACAGGGUCGCAUGACCUGGUGGGGAAAACUCCGGUGGUAUGAGAUGGACCCGCGUCUGAUUAGGUAGUUGGUGGGGUAACGGCCUACCAAGCCGACGAUCAGUAGCCGACCUGAGAGGGUGACCGGCCACAUUGGGACUGAGACACGGCCCAAACUCCUACGGGAGGCAGCAGUGGGGAAUAUUGCACAAUGGGGGAAACCCUGAUGCAGCGACGCCGCGUGAGCGAAGAAGUAUUUCGGUAUGUAAAGCUCUAUCAGCAGGGAAGAAAAUGACGGUACCUGACUAAGAAGCACCGGCUAAAUACGUGCCAGCAGCCGCGGUAAUACGUAUGGUGCAAGCGUUAUCCGGAUUUACUGGGUGUAAAGGGAGCGUAGACGGCUGUGUAAGUCUGAAGUGAAAGCCCGGGGCUCAACCCCGGGACUGCUUUGGAAACUAUGCAGCUAGAGUGUCGGAGAGGUAAGUGGAAUUCCCAGUGUAGCGGUGAAAUGCGUAGAUAUUGGGAGGAACACCAGUGGCGAAGGCGGCUUACUGGACGAUGACUGACGUUGAGGCUCGAAAGCGUGGGGAGCAAACAGGAUUAGAUACCCUGGUAGUCCACGCCGUAAACGAUGACUACUAGGUGUCGGGGAGCAAAGCUCUUCGGUGCCGCAGCAAACGCAAUAAGUAGUCCACCUG
rnacentral:rRNA from 1 species